AUCGCUUCUCGGCCUUUUGGCUAAGAUCAAGUGUAGUAAAUGCAUUUUUUUUCAUUUGAAAAUAUAAGAAAAUGAAUAAUAGCAUUAAAUCUGUAUAAUGCCUUGGGGAGUAUUGCCAUUUUGAUGAUGUUAAUCCUGCCAAUCCACGAGCAGGGUAUGCGUUUCCAUUUCCGUGUGUCCUCUCUUAUUUC